rnacentral:rRNA from 1 species
GCAACUCGCCUGCAUGAAGUCGGAAUUGCUAGUAAUCGCAGAUCAGCAUGCUGUGGUGAAUACGUUCCCGGGCCUUGUACACACCGCCCGUCACACCAUGGGAGUCGGUAACACCCAAAGUUGGUAGUCUAACCGCAAGGAGGACGCCGCCUAAGGUGGGAUUGAUGACUGGGGUGAAGUCGUAACAAGGUACC